UUAAGAAAAUUUUUAUAGAAAAUACUUAUAGAUAAAAUCUUUACUAAAAAUCAAAUAAAAACAUCUUUGGUUGGGGCAACCACGAAGAAAAAAAAACCUUCGUAAAUAAAAAUAAUUUACAAAUUUAAAAAUUUUACUAUAAAUUAAAAAGAUCCAGAAAAUACUGAACAAAGAAAAAAGUUACCGCAGGGAUAACAGCGUUAUUCUCUUUAAGAGUUCAUAUUGACAAGAGAGUUUGCGACCUCGAUGUUGGACCGGGGCACCCAAGGGGUGCAGCAGCCCCUAAAGGUAGGUCUGUUCGACCUUUAAAGCCCUACGUGAUCUGA
rnacentral:rRNA from 1 species